rnacentral:RNase_P_RNA from 1 species
GUAGACCGGUCUGUCGCGUGCAUUUUAUUGAUGCAGGAGGAAAGUCCGGGCAACAAAGAGCAUCCUACUUCCUAACAGAAAGCUGUCCGCGAGGGUGGAGUAACGUAGAAGAAAAUAACCGCCUUGCUUUUGCAAGGUAAGGGUGAGAAGGCGGGGUAAAAGCCCACCAGUCACACGGCGACGUGUUGAGCUGUGCGUCUUAGGAGUUGUAAGGUCAUGUAAACCGGCAUUAAGAGAGCUGCUCGCUCCAGUCGGAGGGUAGACCGCUAAAGCGGAGUGGUGACGCUUCGCUCAGAUAAAUGACAGACACUUUAUUUUGUGUAAAGAACAGAACCCGGCUUAUAGGUCGACUGC